GACGAACGCUGGCGGCGUGCCUAAUACAUGCAAGUCGAACGCUUCUUUCCUCCCGAGUGCUUGCACUCAAUUGGAAAGAGGAGUGGCGGGCGGGUGAGUAACACGUGGGUAACCUACCCAUCAGAGGGGGAUAACACUUGGAAACAGGUGCUAAUACCGCAUAACAGUUUAUGCCGCAUGGCAUAAGAGUGAAAGGCGCUUUCGGGUGUCGUUGAUGGAUGGACCCGCGGUGCAUUAGCUAGUUGGUGAGGUAACGGCUCACCAAGGCCACGAUGCAUAGCCGACCUGAGAGGGUGAUCGGCCACACUGGGACUGAGACACGGCCCAGACUCCUACGGGAGGCAGCAGUAGGGAAUCUUCGGCAAUGGACGAAAGUCUGACCGAGCAACGCCGCGUGAGUGAAGAAGGUUUUCGGAUCGUAAAACUCUGUUGUUAGAGAAGAACAAGGACGUUAGUAACUGAACGUCCCCUGACGGUAUCUAACCAGAAAGCCACGGCUAACUACGUG
rnacentral:rRNA from 1 species